rnacentral:rRNA from 1 species
GGAGGGUGCGAGCGUUGUUCGGAUUCAUUGGGCGUAAAGGGUGCGUAGGCGGUCUUCUAAGUUUGAUGUGAAAUCCCGGGGCUCAACCCUGGAAUUGCAUUGAAUACUGGAGGACUAGAGUACCGGAGAGGAAACUGGAAUUUACGGUGUAGCAGUGAAAUGCGUAGAGAUCGUAAGGAAGACCAGUGGCGAAGGCGAGUUUCUGGACGGUAACUGACGCUGAGGCACGAAGGCCAGGGGAGCAAACGGG